UAGCUGGUUCGGAAGGGCACUCUAAGGAGACUGCCGGUGACAAACCGGAGGAAGGUGGGGAUGACGUCAAGUCAUCAUGGCCCUUAUGGGUAGGGCUACACACGUCAUACAAUGGUCGGUACAAAGGGUUGCCAACCCGCGAGGGGGAGCCAAUCCCAUAAAACCGGUCGUAGUCCGGAUUGCAGUCUGCAACUCGACUGCAUGAAGUCGGAAUCGCUAGUAAUCGCGAU
rnacentral:rRNA from 1 species